rnacentral:rRNA from 1 species
GAACGCUGGCGGCGUGCCUAACACAUGCAAGUCGAACGAUGACGAUGGAGCUUGCUCUAUCUGAUUAGUGGCGCACGGGUGAGUAUACCAUAGAUAAUGUACCCCUUAGUUUGGGAUAGCCACUGGAAACGGUGAUUAAUACCAGAUACUCCUUCUUGUCUUAAGGCGAGUCGGGAAAGUUUUUUCGCUAAGGGAUCAGUCUAUGUCCUAUCAGCUAGUUGGUGAGGUAAUGGCUCACCAAGGCUAUGACACCUAACUGGUUUGAGAGGAUGAUCAGUCACACUGGAACUGAGACACGGUCCAGACUCCUACGGGAGGCAGCAGUGGGGAAUAUUGCACAAUGGACGAAAGUCUGAUGCAGCAACGCCGCGUGGAGGAUGACACAUUUCGGUGCGUAAACUCCUUUUAUAUGAGAAGAUAAUGACGGUAUCAUAUGAAUAAGCACCGGCUAACUCCGUGCCAGCAGCCGCGGUAAUACGGGGGGUGCAAGCGUUACUCGGAAUCACUGGGCGUAAAGAGCAUGUAGGCGGGUGAAUAAGUUGGAAGUGAAAUCCUAUAGCUUAACUAUAGAACUGCUUCCAAAACUGUUCACCUAGAGUAUGGGAGAGGUAGAUGGAAUUUCUGGUGUAGGGGUAAAAUCCGUAGAGAUCAGAAGGAAUACCGAUUGCGAAGGCGAUCUACUGGAACAUUACUGACGCUCAGAUGCGAAAGCGUGGGGAGCAAACAGGAUUAGAUACCCUGGUAGUCCACGCCCUAAACGAUGUACACUAGUUGUUGCUAUACUAGAUAUGGCAGUAAUGCAGUUAACACUUUAAGUGUACCGCCUGGGGAGUACGGUCGCAAGAUUAAAACUCAAAGGAAUAGACGGGGACCCGCACAAGCGGUGGAGCAUGUGGUUUAAUUCGACGAUACGCGAAAAACCUUACCUGGCCUUGACAUAGUAGGAACUUUCUAGAGAUAGAUUGGUGCUAGCUUGCUAGAACCUAUAUACAGGUGCUGCACGGCUGUCGUCAGCUCGUGUCGUGAGAUGUUGGGUUAAGUCCCGCAACGAGCGCAACCCACGUGAUUAGUUGCUAACGGUUCGGCCGAGAACUCUAAUCAGACUGCCUUCGUAAGGAGGAGGAAGGUGUGGACGACGUCAAGUCAUCAUGGCCCUUACGGCCAGGGCUACACACGUGCUACAAUGGGAUAUACAAAGAGCCGCAAUACCGCGAGGUGGAGCAAAUCUAGAAAAUAUCUCCCAGUUCGGAUUGUUCUCUGCAACUCGAGAACAUGAAGUUGGAAUCGCUAGUAAUCGUAGAUCAGCAUUGCUACGGUGAAUACGUUCCCGGGUCUUGUACUCACCGCCCGUCACACCAUGGGAGUUGAUUUCACCCGAAAUCGGGAUGCCAAACUGGCUACCGCUUACGGUGGAAUUAGCGACUGGGGUGAAGUCGUAACAAGGUAACCGUA